UACGAAGGGGGCUAGCGUUGUUCGGAGUUACUGGGCGUAAAGGGCGCGUAGGCGGCCUGGUAAGUUAGGAGUGAAAGCCCUGGCUCAACCCGGGAAUUGCUCUUGAGACUGCCAGGCUUGAGAGCGGGAGAGGAUGGUGGAAUUCCCAGUGUAGAGGUGAAAUUCGUAGAUAUUGGGAAGAACACCGGUGGCGAAGGCGGCCAUCUGGACCGUUUCUGACGCUGAGGCGCGAAAGCGUGGGGAGCAAACAGG
rnacentral:rRNA from 1 species